rnacentral:lncRNA from 7 species
UUUUUCAGUGUUGCAAGGAAUAGAAAACUGUAAGUAGUGAAGGAGAGUCUCUGCUGACAGAGGAAAAGCCUACGGAUGUGCCUUGCAUUGCAGCAUGUCGGCAUCCUCAAUACCUGUGCUGGUUUUCCCAAGGGAAGAACUGAACACCUGGAAAGGAGAACAGGCUCCUGAGGUUUCCAGAUGUCCUACAGCAUGACCCCUCAUCGCUGCUUCCUGGAACAGCAACAUGCUACAGAAAUUGGGAUACAAAUCCUUUUUCUGCCUCUAAUUUCUCACAUUAGUUUGACCAACCAAACUUGUUUUUGAUUUAAAGCUGUCAACAAGCUUUGUCUGUUAACAUUGACUGUGUGAGGAUCCAGAAGCUAUCAUCUAAAUUUUUAUAUAUUUAGCAUCAGGUCUUCUAACCAUGCUAAAACUACACAAAGAGCCCAGCAACUUUCCCAGGAAAGUGAGCCUGUGCUAAACUACCAAAGUAGAGGUAUUUUGCUGCUAUUUUUCCACUCAGUCUAAUUUAUAAUUUUGUUUACUUUCUUGAUAUGAACACUCAAAUCUGAGGAGAAGAGACUGCAAACUGACUGCAAACACAUUCCUCUUUGGCAGAGUCAUCUCGGUAAUUUGUGCUGACUGUAUGGAUAUCCGGUAGUUAAUACAGCGAGGAAAAGUCUUAUUUUGUCAAAAGGGAAAGAAAGCUCUCUCUAUAUGGUAUUGGGUACAAAUAUGGGGUCUCCUUGAACAAUUCAGUUAGGAAGAAUUUCUGAGCUCAAGUGAAAAAUGCUUAUUUUCAGUUAUUCCGCUGUAGAUGUUAAACUAGUUUAUUGGGAAAAAGAAAAAAGAAAAGAAAAAAAAGAAAAAAAAAGUGGAUUUAUUUUUGUGUUACCUUCGGCUAAAUGCUCAGAAUUUAGCCACACUUCUCCAGUGUGCAUUUUUCCUGUUAAAAAACCAAGAUACUGUAAAUUAUUUUUUAAUGAUGCAGAAUGAGGCACUAGCACUGUAUUGGAAGGGGAGAUUUUAGCUCCCAUGCCACACAACUGGACAGGGAAAAUCACAAAUGAGCACAGAACUGCAGCCUGCCAACCUCAGGCAGUGAUUGCUGUCCUGGCCUGCAUUAGUUUGCUUCCGGUAUGUGUCAUUUAAAAGAUCUUUUCCAUAUAAAUCUAGAGAUAAGUAUAUUCAAUAUAUACAUAUACACAUACAUAUUUGUAUCUAUACAUGUUUUAUGGCAAGGAGAAAAAGCAAUGUAGAAAAUAUUCAGUGUAAGUGGAAACCCUCCAGGAGUGCCAAGAAUGAGAUUGUUUGAAGGCAAGUCUGACAGCGCAGUGGAAAAAAAAAGAAAUCUAAGAGAUACUUUCAGCGUGAAUUAGUUAGCCUAAAGUCAACCCAAUUACUGUCUCUCCAGUGUUGAUUCUAAUUCCUUCUGGAUAUUUUUAUUCAUUUCCUCGAGCUUCCCUCAGGCUGAUUUCUGAGUUUUUAAGCUAAUUUUUAGGUUUGGAGUUGUUUGUUUUGGAAACUUCCGAAUAUUUGUAGUUUUCAUGUAGCAGAUAUCAUCACUUAAUGGACUAAACCCACAGUUCUCCAUUUCACACAAAGUGAAGGGAGAAGAAAAAUGUACAAACUACUUAUUUUAUAAGAACUGCCAAAUUAUGAAUUAUAUUUUUGGGUAAAAAUAGAAAGGCUUUUAAAACCAAAACUAAAGAAGCAGUAUGUAUGUGCUCAGGAUGGUUCUCAGUUUGAGGUUUUUCUUAAUGUUGUUAAAGCUUUCAAAGAAAAUGCAUGUAAAAUAACCCAAUAUUCCAUUUCAAAUCUGGUGAGUUUUAUGAAAAGUCACUGGUGUUUAUUGGAAAUAAACCUGAUAC